AUGAACGCUGGCGGCGUGCCUCAUACAUGCAAGUCGAGCGAACAGACGAGGAGCUUGCUCCUCUGACGUUAGCGGCGGACGGGUGAGUAACACAUGGAUAACCUACCUAUAAGACUGGGAUAACUUCGGGAAACCGGAGCUAAUACCGGAUAAUAUAUUGAACCGCAUGGUUCAAUAGUGAAAGACGGUUUUGCUGUCACUUAUAGAUGGAUCCGCGCCGCAUUAGCUAGUUGGUAAGGUAACGGCUUACCAAGGCAACGAUGCGUAGCCGACCUGAGAGGGUGAUCGGCCACACUGGAACUGAGACACGGUCCAGACUCCUACGGGAGGCAGCAGUAGGGAAUCUUCCGCAAUGGGCGAAAGCCUGACGGAGCAACGCCGCGUGAGUGAUGAAGGUCUUCGGAUCGUAAAACUCUGUUAUUAGGGAAGAACAAAUGUGUAAGUAACUAUGCACGUCUUGACGGUACCUAAUCAGAAAGCCACGGCUAACUACGUG
rnacentral:rRNA from 1 species